AUAAUGGGUCAGCGACUUAUAUUCUGUAGCAAGGUUAACCGAAUAGGGGAGCCGAAGGGAAACCGAGUCUUAACUGGGCGUUAAGUUGCAGGGUAUAGACCCGAAACCCGGUGAUCUAGCCAUGGGCAGGUUGAAGGUUGGGUAACACUAACUGGAGGACCGAACCGACUAAUGUUGAAAAAUUAGCGGAUGACUUGUGGCUGGGGGUGAAAGGCCAAUCAAACCGGGAGAUAGCUGGUUCUCCCCGAAAGCUAUUUAGGUAGCGCCUCGUGAAUUCAUCUCCGGGGGUAGAGCACUGUUUCGGCAAGGGGGUCAUCCCGACUUACCAACCCGAUGCAAACUGCGAAUACCGGAGAAUGUUAUCACGGGAGACACACGGCGGGUGCUAACGUCCGUCGUGAAGAGGGAAACAACCCAGACCGCCAGCUAAGGUCCCAAAGUCAUGGUUAAGUGGGAAACGAUGUGGGAAGGCCCAGACAGCCAGGAUGUUGGCUUAGAAGCAGCCAUCAUUUAAAGAAAGCGUAAUAGCUCACUGGUCGAGUCGGCCUGCGCGGAAGAUGUAACGGGGCUAAACCAUGCACCGAAGCUGCGGCAGCGACGCUGAUGCGUUGUUGGGUAGGG
rnacentral:rRNA from 1 species